UUUUGUUUCAUGCUUCUGACAACCGACAUUCAUUGGCAUAAAUUUAGUAGUGAAGAGUCUAAGCUCGGUCAGGUAUAUCAUUUGAAAUUUAACAUGAAGAUCUUAAGUUGGGAAAACAAAAGACUGAUAUGAGUAAUUGCUACAGCGGAAGUCUAACAUAGGAAUUUAUCGCUAGCCUCAGCUCCGUCCCGUCAGCACCGGCCAGCCAACCUGAAAACAUUUGAAAGUAUUUUUGGGCUAAGUACUAAUGUACUUAGUGGGCAUGCAUUUUCUGAAACAUUUCAUAUUUUAAUAAAGACAGUUUAUCCAAUCAUACUUGACAUGACUUAGAAGGUUUUAAAUUAAAAUAACUUCUAAGCAUGUUAAAACAUUUUCUUUCAUUUGUGCGCACAUGUCACACUCCCUUUCUGUUACUCGCUGUGAUCCCGGACCUUUUAGCCACCGACGGAUCUCUGUCUCCCGCUUACUUGAACUGAGGGCGUAACCCAGACAAGUUUACUUUGACCUCGGGACGCUACCCAGGCAGGCCUGAUAUUUCUCAUGCUCCGGAACACAUCCAGCCGAGCACCCUUAUAACGCCUCUGGUUAGAGCCCGAUGGAGAUCAACCCACCGAGUCAACUAACAAGUGUACACAAUUCUCAAACAACGUAUUAGGUCAUAAGAGAACCUCAAUUGAUUAACUGCGCGAGCCUUAAACAGAGCAGAGUGCACAUAAACAUUUUAUUGGAUAAACAGUUUUCAUUACAUUAAAUAAACAAUUUGCAUUUCAUUGAAACAUUUAGAGCUUAAUAACUCAAUCAUACUUUGUACAUUUGGAAAGUAAUGCCCACCUGGUUAGGCAAAGCCUGAAGAUCAUAAUCACAUAUAAACCUGUCUUGGGAAAGCAGCGCUGAUCCCCCUGGUCACAAAGCCU
rnacentral:lncRNA from 1 species